ensembl:lncRNA
GCACUGUAGAAGCCAGCAAGACUCCAGGCUACAUUUAGAGAAUUUUAAACUGCUCUGAAAGCUUUCACCUGAGCAAAUUCACCUGAUGGUCCUACCCAGCUUUCAACUGUUUUUCAAUGAAACGUUUCCCAUCCAGCAGUGGUUUCAUUUGAGUCUUCUUAAGCAAAUGAAAAACAAGGCAAUAGCUAGCUGUUAUUCAAUAUUUCUCUCUUCUUAAACAUACAAAGUCAUCCUAAAAACUAAUAAGAAAUUCUCUCACUGUUGCCAGCUCCUCUUUUACUACUAAAUAACAGUUUAUCGUUGUAAAGUAUCCCAAAGCCAAGGAACAGAAACAUCAACAAUUGUAGAAAGAGAGAAAUCAAAUGCUGUAUAGCCUCUCCGGUUAUUUCAAAACAUUACCUAACAGAAAGUGUAUACCACAGCCAAAGCAAAGAGUUUGCUUAAGAGCAGUACAGCUGUGGGGGAAGGAAUAGCAUAAUAAAUUUAUGCUUAUUUCUGGGAUUAGAACCACUUAAGUUCACACGACAAUCCUCUCUCAGAUAAUUUGUCUACCUUUUGUGAACUGGAUAAUCCUUUCUUUCAAAAAAGUCAUGAAUAAGCAUGACGAGAGAAGUUUGUCCAGGAAAAUGAAUUCCAAAUGGGAAGGGGGUUAUGUUGAUGGGGGUUUAUUUAUUUAUUUUUACCUCUGUCAGUGUUCCCUUCUGCUGUAUUAUUUGUUAUCCAAAUUAAACUGUUUUGCAGCUUUUGUUAGCGUUCUGGUGUCAAACUGACCACAGAUAACCUGAGCACUGAAAGGUCAACAGGCAUCUAGGUAUAUAUAUAUAUAACCCAUUUGUAAUUACAGUCACUCAUGUACCCUUUUCAGUACUAGAGCCCUCCAGUGUGCUUCUCUGAGCAGACCCCCGAAGACAUCCUAAAGAUAUAAGCUUAUUCCUUAACCAGAGCCAUGAAUGCUGACUCACAAGGACACCUCCAAACUACAGAGGGGGUCACUACCAGGGCAGCAGUGAUGCAAUCCGAAGGAUCAUUCUGUAAUGAUCAUAUCCAACACAUGAGCUACAAAAAUAGCUUCUUUCAGAGGAAUGAAGACUGCAACAAGACUUCAGCACAGGCAGUUUUCUACAGAGAGAGUGAUGAGGUGCUGGCACAGGUUGCCCAAAAAAGCUGUGGAUGCCCCAUCCCUGGAGGUAUUCAAGGCCAGGUUGGACGGGGCCCAGGGCAGCCUGAUCUAUGCACGUACCAGACUUCCUUUGGAUGAAACUAAAUCAGAAGAUCUACUCUGAACAUCACUUCAAACCAAGGCCCCCAAGAGGGGGCUAACUAAGCAAGGAGCGGGGCUGCUGACUUGUGAGUGCAAGAGGACUGGCAGUCGGUGUCACAGGGAUGAAGACUGCCUUCUUAAAGGCGGGGGGUAACGUGGCAGACAGAUAACUUAAACAGAUCAUUGAGCACAUCAUCAACCCUGCUCCCAACAAUGGGAUGUACACACACUGGAGCCGGCCAGGGUCAUCACACAGGAGAUUCUGAAAAAAUCAGUACAGUCUCCUGGCAUAACUCUGUACUUUCCAUUCCCAGACUCUGCAGGUAACUCCUGUGGGGGAACACGCACAGAAUAGGCACUUCCCUUUGUCCUUUCUGCUGGCCAGCGGCAACAACCUCCAGCAUUAUUACCUCUGAUUCCACCCCAGGUAAGCGCAUUGCCUUUCAAUGACUACUGCUAGGAAAGAUGGAUGCAUACACACCAGCUGAAGCAGACUUACACUGCUUGGGUCUGCUGAGAGCCAAACAAACAUCAUCAGUCUGGCUGAAAAGGCUGUCAUGCUUUUAAAAGCAGUCCCACAAGGGCAAAAGGUUGCUAUUGCUCAUAGCAUAGCAAACUGCUAAACUGCUAAAUCCUCCAGUGUUUGCCCCAUACAAAAGUCCUGUGACCAAGAACAUUUGCACACAGUGUGUUCUGCUAACACAGCACUUCUAGGGCUUCCCCACAAAGAACCUGACAUAUCUCCCCUACUUUCCUAGCAUAGUAAGGCACACAGUGAUAAUAUGAUAAGGGUACUACAUACAGCAAUACUUUCAAUCGUAAUUAUAGCUACCUGAUCAUAAUUUGGGCUGUUUCCAUUUCUUUGGAACACGAGACAGGGAGCAGCUCUUGUAGUGGUCAAGCAUGGUAAGAUCCUUCCCCUCAUUCUGGUCCCUUUUUCGUAGUUCAACAAGCCUUCUGAUAUUUAAAGGGAGAUUAUAAAUAGGAAAGAAAACAACUUUUUAAACAGCUAGAUAGUGACAGAACAAGGGGGAAUGGUUUUAAACUAAAGGAGAGAUUUAGAUUAGACGUCUGGGGGCAGUUUUUCGAAGAGAGGGCAGUGAGGUGCUGGCACAGCUGCCCAGAGAAGCUGUGAAUGCCCCAUCCCUGAAGGUGUUCAAGGCCAGGUUGGAUGGGGCCCUGGCAGCCUGAUCUAAUUCCUGAUGUGCCAUGCACUGUGUUAACAUAAGAAGCAUGGAAGACAGCUAUGGAAACCUGCACUCACACCCAACUCACCCACCUCACAUCAGCUCAUCACUGGUUGUAGGAACUGAAGGUACUGCUAUUUCACGGAUGACAGUCGCUUUCUUGUGCAAGGUCUGAGCUGCUAAAAAUUUCAUCUGGCGACAGCAGGGAUGUGUUAUGGUCUGAUGGUAGGUCUUGAAUCUUCAUACACAAAAACUCCGUGCCCAAGCUUGUCCACUAGGACCAGAGACAAAGCAGCAGCAAAACUUUCAACAAAGCUGUUACUUCUGACUUGCUCCCCAAAUAAGAUGUCCAAGAGGGACAGAUUUUGGUCAUUUGGAUGUGCUCCUGGAGCAGGUGAUGGUCAGAAAUACCAAUCUCAAGACUCAGGAGAAGAUUCAGGCAGCGGGUUAAAUGGGUCGCUCAAGUAAGCAGGAAAAUAAAUUAAUUUUGUUCCCACAAGAGACCUGCACAGACACUAAUUAGUGACAGGGCAAUGAUAUGUUGGCAUCCAUCCUGUGGAACAGAGAAGAACCAUCAGAUAUUUCCUGGAGGAGCAGUCCAAAGAGCAGAGGUUAGUGAGACAGUUUUCCUUCAGACACCUCUGCAGCGCAUGCACAGAGAGGGCAGUGUGACUGGGGAGAAAGCUAACUUGAGAUUAAAGAACAGUAAGCAGACAAACAUAAAACUGAAGCCUGAUCCAAUGACCUGCUCCUGCUAACCUGCACAUUUGGUCAGGGCAAGCACAGCCAGCCAUGACUCCUAGUAAAGUGCUUCCCUCUUCCAUGCACAAGAAUCCACAGAGAGCAGCUCCAAACUCCAGGCCAAAGUCCAACACCACACUGCUGGGAAGAGACUUCUUUUCUCCUUAAAAGCAUUAUGAGUACUAUGUGCUAUACUGCAGUACUUGUUUGUCUUAAUAAACUUUUGUUUCAGAUGCCUGAUAGAAAGGUGCCUUUUUAGCCCUCCCUUUCCUACAAUACAUACAUUUGUUUUUAUGGUUACAAUCACUGCAACUACUAGAAAAGACAGAGGCUAGCAUGUAUAUUUAAGCAAUUGAUAAGGACAGAAAAACAAAUGACAUAGUCCUUUGACUUCCAGUUUGAGCAAUAUCCUGAGUCUGAACAUUUCACAAGGGUAUAUCUUCCCCUUCCACCUCCAAACAUGACAUUCAAAAGCCCUGAUGUUAUCGAACACUGAGCCAGUAUAAAUCAGCCUCUUGGGAUCUGAACCCAUGGACUCAAGGGCAAACUUCUGUAGAAGGCUUUUUGUUCUUUGGCAGACUUUGUACUGAUUCUGAAGUUAUAGAGUUUAACACAAGGGUACAACUCUGUUUUGUCACAUACCCCGUCAAGCAAUGUUGCCACUGUUACUUGAGGCAAUGCUAUUUUACAGUAAUUAUUUGUUGUAUUUCUGUGCUUUCCCAGUUCUUGUACUAGAUGCUCUUUGAACUUGGUGCUGGCGCUCCAAAGACGAGAGAAACAGCUGCAGAAUGGAAGGAAGAAUAAAUCAGGCAGUUUGCUCUUCUUUUAGGGGUUCCCAGCCAGCAGGGAGUAGCCAAACUGUGUGACGGGAUGAAAAGGGAAUCAAAAUGUAAAUUCAGGACUGGGUAGAUCUGGUAAGCUGCCUGUAAGACAGGAUGAAAGUGGCUCCAUUUCUAAAGAGAUAUGAGAUUGGCCUUCAAAUACGAUGAGGGAAAAUCCUUACCAAAGCUAAAGACUUAAAACCUUUGUGUCACACACUCCUGUUUGUGUUUGGACAAUACUCUGAGGUCUGGAGAGAGAACUGAUGUGAGCACAGCUAAUCACUGGGCUGAUGAAUCAGCUCUCCAAUGUACACUCUCCUUAGGGAGAGAAGAGAGAAUUGGCAGAGGACAGUGCUGCAGAAGACAGCAAUAUUAAGAAACAGCUGCUGAAUUUGAUGCAGAAGCAGAACACGGCAUAGAGAACAUUUUGGUGCAGUGUUCUUGCUCAAAAUCAUCAUCCCCAGUGAAGCAUAUCCCACAGCCUGUAAGAAACAAACACAUUUCCUUAGGAUAUCCAGUCACGGCUACUUCCUUUCCAAAUCCAAAUGCUGGAACAGCAAAGCCAAAGGCUUCUGAUACUGUAUAUUCAAGUAGCAGUGAGACAGUAAACACAGCAAAGAUCAAGGAAAAUCAAUAUUGAUGAAAUUCUCCCUAGGAUAAUAGUAUCAGUUGUGUGCAACAAGAAGCAAUGAGCUUAUAGCACAUCUAUAGCUCUAUUUCAUGAAACCUGCACUGGUCUGAGGACCAUAUUUUGUAGCAACUUGUGGUCCAUUGGCCUCAAGUUAGAACCAUUAGCUUCACUUUGUAACCUUUAAUGAGACUAUAUGCAAAAAUAACUGCGUUUUUUUAUUAAGUUAUUUUAUAAAAACCUUAAGCCACACGAAAACAGGAGAGCAAAGCUCCAGGUAGGACCAUACACAGCCCAAUAGAUUUGCUGCAACUUGCUCAAAACUGAUGCCUCCAUCAGUGAACCCAAGACCCUCUGGGAGCCAUUGCUGCCCAUCAGCAUACCACCAUGUGGCUCUUCACACCAGGAGCAGACACAGUACUGGGAAGAUAUGGACCAGGAGCAGCGAGACACAGCAAUUUCCUGGGCAGUGAUAGCUGCAGAGCAAGCAACGCAGAGAGGAAAUAUUGCAUCCAUAUGUUCCCACAUAGAGCUCCCCUGGACCAACACCAGCGUUGCCAAGAUGACCUGCAGCACGGGGGCUGGGCUCACACCAGCAGCUGGCCUUGCCCUUCGUGGUUAUCUCUUCCUAUCAGGCCACACUCAUUUCCAUAUCCAAAUACACCUCCAGGAGAGGCUGUUGCAGAUAAAGGCACACAAAAGCAGCAGUUACAUUUUUUCCUUCACUCAGAUGAGCUGAGAAGCCAGGCUGCUUGUUCACGUACGAACUGCACGUAGCUUAACCUUUCAUUUUUGCCUAAUGCUUCGCAUGUGUCCCAUCAGGGCAUACUACAGUUUUAGUUAUUUCUUCUUUUUUUCCACACAGCUGAAGAGAGCUUCCAGUCUGCAUGAAAGAUGAUGCCUCAGCCACUCCCAGCGGGCCCCUUAUUUAUUGUUCACUGUAACUUCUCUCUCCUACCAGCAACCAGAGACUGGCUCGAUAGACUUCUGUGAUGACAGGUAUAAUAACAUGCAAGCAGAUAUCUUUUAUUGCGUUUCUGGACACCUGCUCUGAAAGAGGUUUCUGUUUCUGCCCGCUGUCAUUUGAAUAUGUGAAUGACCUCUCAAAGACAAGCAGCAGUUUUCCCCAGAACACACUCAGGCACACUGUCAAAGAGAAGGGCAGAAAAGUACUCCAUUCCCUCACGCAUCUUUCAGCGCUGCCUUUGUACUUUGAAAGAUCAAUGGCUUCCAAGACUUAUUUCAAGCCCUGUAAAUUCUAAGACUUAAAACAAGUGGAGCUAUACAGUUGUGGUCUGAAUAAAUCAACAUAUGGACGCAACAAGUGGAGCUAUACUGUUGUAGUCUGAAUAAAUCUAAUGAAUUCAGACUGUCUAUCAAGGUUGUUAUUAAUACAACCUUGUCCCGCGAAUCAACACUGCUGAUUUUUUUUCCACUAUCUUCCUUCCAGGUGACCAAAAGGAUCACUUUCCCCCCAAAAUGCCUUGUUUUGACAGGUAUCUGGAAGAACAAAAAGGCAGCUCUUUUAUUCUAAAUACCAAGGCACUGAAAACAAAGGGAGAACUCUAUGUACGUAUUUAACUCCCUAGGCAAGUGAGCCUCAUGACUUGGGAUCAUUACUUCCUCCAAUGCUAGCCUUAAAUGGAGAACUGUGUUAAUAGUCUCUCAGUAUUUGCUUAAUGGCUUUCAAACUGGUCCAUCUCUCCACGCAAAAGGAAUAUAAAAAUUAAGUCCUGGGGCAGUGGAAAAUAUCCACAUCAGCAGAAGUUGGGACAGUCCUCAAGCAAAGAGAAGAGCAGUAAAGGAAAGUCCCUAAGAGAGGUGGAAGAAGAGAUGAGAGCAAACAGAAGAUGAAGCAGAUGCAAGAAGCAUCUGCUCAGGAAGGUCAGGAAGCAUGAGGAGGAAUGGGAAAAGGAAAUGGUCUGGCUGUAAAGAGAGGCUGAUAUAAACAGGAGAGGGGACAGUCAUGCAUCUGCAUUGCCAUGCCCAGCUUUGCCUUCAGGAGCUCAGAGAUAAUGCUCACAGAUUGAAGAGUGUGCAUGGAGGAGCUAUGCACACAACAUCAGCCACCACAGAACAAACCUUUAGGUGAAAACUCAACAAGAACAGCUGUUUCAAGGAGAGAAAAAAAAAAAAGAUCCACUGCCUUCUGGAUAAAACCAAAAAUUUUGGUCAAAUGUCAGGUACAUCAGCAAAGACAACCAACCCCUGGGCCAACUCACAAGGGCCAGGUUAGUUUUCAUGGCUAAUCAUUUCAAGACUGGGUCUGGAUGCUUCUCUUGGAGGCAAGCGGUAGUUCAAGUACAGAUUUAUGAAAUGCAGGAUUAGCCUGGAGACAAUUCUUACAGCCUCCUCUAGCUUUGCGCACUUACUCAAGACCCAAAGAGGUGGGGAGGUGGGUGAAAGAGGUGGGGCAGGGAAAGAAAGUAAAGAGAUAGAGGGAAACAAAGAAAGCAUGUUGAUAAUCACAGAAUCACAGAAUGGCCUGGGUUGAAAAGGACCACAAUGACCACCUGGUUUCAACCCCCCUGCUAUGUGCAGGGUCGCCAACCACCAGACCAGGCUGCCCAGAGCCACAUCCAGCCUGGCCUUGAAUGCCUCCAGGGCAUCCACAACCUCCUUGGGCAACCUGUUCAGUGUGUCGCCACACCCUGUGUGAAAAACUUCCUCCUAAUAUCUAGCAUAAACCUCCCUUGUCUCAGUUUAAAACCAUAAUGAACUAGAAUGAGGAAAAACAGCCUAAAAAGAGAAAGCACAAUAUGCAUAAUAAUUUUAUUUCUUCUCAUUGAACACACGUGGGAAAUAAACUGGACAAGAGAAACCAACUCUGUGCAGGAGAAUGGGGCUGGAAAUACAAAAGAAAGCUUUGUUUUUUUUUCUUUGUUUCAGAAUAUUUUUUCAAGGGUGAUUUUUUUCAAGGGUGCAGUUCUUAGCACCAGAGAAGCCAGGUCCAGCUCACCCUGUGGCACAUUUACCACCAGGUGAUGCACGAUGCCUUGUGACAGUAAGGCAGAAAAAUGCUCAACAUGCCCCCCAGCCACGCUUACACUGCAUAAUUCUUGCAGAUGACAAGAAUCCUUAGAGCCAGUGACCUCAUCUCCAAAUGAAAUGUAUAAACAGAUGCUCUUCUAAAGCCACUGUAUUCCUCCACAUGCUGCCUCGAUCGAUACAGCUGUGGUUUACUUACUCCACCGUUCCAAGUUACGUGACGAGGUACAACUGCGAAACUCUACCUGGACUUCAGCUCUGGGGGGGGGAAUUGGAUGUGUGCAGGCACGGUGAUGUAUGCAAAAAAGAAAGGAGACACCAGGAUAUGAGGUAUCAGUGUAUGAAAGCACAGGAAGCACAAGACUACCAAUGUGAAGUGUCUCUCGUGGCAUCCUCCAGCAACAGCUCUGGGGUGAAGUGACAGAAUCACAUCAAAUUGGAUUCUCUGCGUAAUGGCACAAAGACCUGAACAUUAUAAUCAGGGGUAGCUAAGCAGGUAAAUUGUAAAGAGCAAAUCUAAAAGUAGUGAUCGAUUCAUUAGCCACAGAAGCUUUGAAACAAGUUCUUUUGUCUUGGUUAUAGUUUCCAUCAAUGAACACAGCAAGGAAGUUGGUUUACUGCAGCAGAGCGUGCUUCUGUUGCCUUUGCUGGUCCAUGAGAGAGAUCAGUUCUCUCAGCAGAUCCCAGCUUACGCCUGGCUUUGCUCUAAAAACCACGUCCAGAAAAACACAAGCAACAGGAAGUUCUCGGUGUGUAAACACAAGGUAAAAGCUUACACUUUCUGCAGCUGAGCACUACCACUAACGACAACAAUAAAAAGGCAGAAUAUGUGCACAGCAUCAUACCAUGUAUAUAAAAAGCCAUAGGCUAAAGCUCAACAUUUGUAGAUAAAUACGACACCUAGAAGUCUUAGGAAAUUAAAACCAGGAGCUUUCUUUUUUUUCUGCAAACCUCCUUUUGCUUUCACCUACAUUCAUGUUUCAUGCGCUCAGCUUCUUCAUUCCAAGACAAAGAAAGAAACAAACAUCUGACAGCCUCUUCCCCACCCCUCCAUCUUUUCCUCCUUCAGCCCCAAACGGUCUCUCUGCAGCUGGUGCAAUACUACCCUGGAUCAGCUCCGUGAGCUGCAUUUCCCUGAGCUGCCCCAAGCAGCAUUCACUGUGGAGAUUACCAGGAAGAGAGACCAAAAUGCUCUUAAUGUAGAGAUAUACUCAAGCGACAAUAGAAUUACUCAGUGAAAUCGAGUGGGGUUAUCAGUGGGGUGCAGUUCUUACUGAGCACUGAGGCGGUUCACUCACACCCCACACACUUUUUAAGUGUUAAACUGCAUAUGCAUAAAAAAUGAAAUGUAUUCCUUCCCAUGUGAGUGUUUCCCUCUGCUUCCAAUCACUCUGCUUCUUGGAGCUCCAUUUCUGGUAAAAGGAACAGUCCUUUUGAACCUACCUGUUGCUUUUCAGAUUAAUUUCACAGCAUGCUUUGGUUAAAAUUAAUAAAUCAAUCAAAUCAAAGAAAAAAAGACAACAACAACGUUUGAUUGUGAAGGAACUAACUGCCCGGAUGUGUCAUUUGUAAAAUAAAAUCUUUCACAGAAAGAGUAAAAUAAGGGAAGUGCACAGUGGAAUCUUGAGGAAUAAGGCUUUUUUUUUUUUUUAAUGUUUUAUUUUUAAUAAAACUUGGCAGAUUUGGAGGCCGUCUCAUGCCCACUGAAAAGCAGCCCCGGCACCUACAUGUCAGCGGACUGUUUUUACGACUAAUUGCCAGUGUUGUCAGUCUAGGUGCAGGGUGAAGUUUUCUGCCAUUCUCAAAUCACCAAUGCCACAAGCAGCUAAAAUGGAAUGGUAGAGUCACUACAUAUUCUACUAAGAAAGUAGAAUAACUUAGGUUGGAAGGGAGCUCAAAGCGCACCCACCCCAACCCCUGCCAUGGGCAGGGCUGCCCCCCACCAGCUCAGGCUGCCCAGGGCCCCAUCCAACCUGGUCUUGAGCUCCUCCAGGGAUGAGGAUGGGUAUGUGACAAAUAGAUUCAAGAUCUAAACUCACUUCCACCAAGGAAACGAGAGAAGCUGAAAAGAGAGGCCAGGAGAGAUCUGCUUCAGGAAUCCAGAGCGAAGCAGUCCGAGAAAACAACAGGCAAAGCAAAUGACUCCGUACAGCCACCUCCUUUCAGCAUCUCCUCCAUAACCUCCUCUUCUUCAGCAAGACCCUUCCCCAAACCCUGCUGGCUUAGUUUGCUGCUGAGAUGCCAGCAGUACCAACACAAGGUACUAUUAGGCCUAGAGAAGUCCCCGAGGUUACCAGUGCCACGUGGAGCUGAGAGGGCCUUCAUUUACUCUUCAGCCAUGAAGCUCAGGUCCCAUCAGUCAGGGGAGUGGAAACCCUGACAGAGCAGACUGCUGGGCGAUGAGCCUCCUGGCAGCAUCACUCAUCAUCAGCCAACACACACACAGACACAAAUCCAAGAAAACGUGGGAGUAGUUCAGUCUUGCUCAUUCCCUCCGUGCUUCUCCUUUCCCUCCUAUUGUCAGUACAAACCAGUUACAGGUAGAAUUAAGAAAAUCUGAUCCAAUUACACCACAAGUACAAAAAUCAAAUACGCAGACCAAGAUUAAGCACUGCUAGCACAAUGACUUCAUCUGUCAUACAGCACAGUAUUAAACUUACCUGCUCAUUACUGUAAUUUGGCAACUGAAUUAAAUACUUAAGAAAGAGCUCUGAUGAAACCCACAGUAAGUGGAACGAAGCAAGGAAGAGAAGGAAGAGGUGAGCAAGAGAAAAUUACACCAAGAGAUCAGGAUAAGGUAGAUAUGCAUAAAUCCACCUGUCUGAGCAGAUCUGCCUUCUCCUUGCUAAGGCUUCUUGCAAGAAUUCAGCUGCAGGGGGGGAAAUACAGCCAAUGGUGUGUGUCUGACACUGUUAGAACCUGUUAAAGAUAGCUGCCCUAGGACAGACACAGCUGCAGACAGGAUCCGUAUCAGUGCAGUAGGCUUUUAAUCUGUGCAACAAUUACUCUCAGGUAUAGAAGCACAAAGCUCAUGAGGACUCACCGCUCUGUCAGAGCAAGCACCAGCUUUCUGUUAUUUACAUCUUCUCCCUCGGGUGUAAUUUCACUGGAUUACAUUGUGUUUGUGAAUUCCAAUUAUUACGUUAUUUGUAAAAAAAAAAAAAAAACAACAACAACACGGUUUCCCAAGACAUGGGUUCCACAUACCAGACACUAUGUACUACUCACAGCGCUUCCAGAAUCGCAUUUUAAGGGCACUCUGGAAUUAAGGCAGGAACCCAGCGGGGCUCCCCUCUCAUAAGAACAUAUGGCAUUUUAAAAAGCAGCGUGUUACAAACUCGCACAAAAGCUAUUGAGUCACUCAAUAGAGGCUUAAUUUAUCUCUUCUCUCUCUCUCCCCUACCUAGGCACUUGCUCUACAGUCCGCAACAGGAAGACUGAAAUUCCUCACAGUCCUAAGGAAGCAAGCUGUCUCUCAUUUACAUUAGAGAUAUCCACACUUUCAAUGAGUUCCUCAGAUGCAGCUGACGACAGUUCGGUGAUGCCAAGGUUAGGCAUCGGCCAUUGCUGGGGAAAGAACACAAAGAACAAGAAGUUCCUCGCAUGGAGCAUCCUAGAUCACUUGUGUUUUACCAACAAGCAAAGACCAUAUAUCCUGCCAAACAGUACCACACAUAAAAGAAAGCAUUUCGGGAAGCUGGUUAACAUUUCUUUUCUGUUCGCACAGAGUAACAGAGCAUCACAGCCCAUAAUUUUCUGUUACUUCAUCUCUAACGCUCGUUCGUCAGCACAGGGAGCCAGAAACUUGACUCAGAUUUUAAUUCAUCACUUACCAUUUUGCAAAACUACUCCAGCACCCACCAGCUUUGUGCAACGGCUGUAACGCCAAAAAGGCGAGCAGAACAAGAAUCAGUUCUUGCAUUGAAAUUCUGAGGGCACAAGCAGACUAGCUUCCGAAUGAGGGUUACCCAGCCUUUCAGCUUCUGUUUAGUGCCCUCCACACAUUGCUGGUAGUUACAGCUUCUGGCCAGAGCAACUCUUAAGUCACUCUGGCUGGUUGUCGGGAAUUAAUCUGGUGCCACAGAAAUGUACUGAGAGCUGAACAGAUGAAAAAUGGUAAAACAUUUAUGGACACAAGGGUCUUUGCAGUAACUGGAUUCAGGCUCCAGUCUUGAGGCUGAUCCACGAGGUCAACACGUCCUCCUCCGCUCCAUCUUCUGCCCAGAAUGCAUGGACCACAAGUGAAGUGUGUGGAAACAAUUACAAAGGAAUCAAGCAGCCACUGUGAGAAAGGACCCCUUGCCAGGAGAGUGAAAACACUGAUAUCCUUCCCAGAGUCAUUCAGUCUGACACACAGAUUGCUGCCCUGUGCUGGAAUUUACAGCAUGUGAGGAUCCUAGAGCAGAGCCAGCCUGGAGCAUAAGUCUCGGUCAAAAUUAAAGGGUAGUGUGCACAGCUGAAGGGGAUUUCAAGAGGUCACCUCAUCCAGCUGUCCCCAGUCUUUCAUAGCUAAGCUUUGACAUCACCUUUCACUUCAUUAAGAACACCAAUUUCUUGUUCUCAACCUCCUCCAACCCAUUUUUGCACAGCAACAUUAGGGACGUGGAGAGGCUGCCAGAACUUAUGUUCUUUGGCUUCUCCUUGUCUAUAUCUAAAACUGGGGCCCUUCCUACCAAGGACACGGCGCUCUAGCCCCCAGAGCAAGAGCCCCAAGCCCCAACCCUUUCCAGAGGCGUCUGCCAAGAUCCGCUCUUUUUGAGUUCUCUCCAGCAUCAGAGAUUUCGUAACUCCCAUUUGGCAACAGAAAGCUUUUUCCAAAGCUUUCCAGCUCUCCCUUCUGCAUCUUAAACCUGUAACCUCUUGUCCUCUCUACAGCGGGCAAGGAGAGCAAACUACUCCCUCCUCCUAUACAGUAGCCUUUCAAGUGCUAUCUACAUAGUAAGCCCAUUAUUCUGCAAACCUUCCUUUUGGUGAUGUUCUCUAGACUUGCCUGCGACUUCUUUCAUUUCUCUGACAGCUUUGCCCUUGGAAAAUGGGUUUCUUUAGAGGUAAUGCCUACAGCUGCAGACCAUGCUAUUGCUCAUGCCAUGCAGAAUCACAGCACAGCAGUGUGCAUGCACUCUAGUACGUCUGAUUUCUUUCUUUUGGGGUAGGAGGUUUUGUGGGUUGUUUUGCAACCAUGCAAGACUGACUCACAUUCAAGUUGGUGAACUGCUAAGUGGAAGCACUACUGUUUUGGUUAUUAUCAAGCCAGGUACUGGCACAAAUAGAGGCAAGCUUGGGGCUCUGUUUUCUCUUAGAUGUUCUGCCAGCCUAGCAGAGUUAAUGAACAGCAUCAGAGAGACUCCAGUGUAGGCACAGAGGCACAAAUUAAUGCAGGCAGUGAUAUCACCAAAAAGUGAAACUGUUGUGGUUGUUCUUACCCAGACAGAAGGAUUAAGAGCACCAGCAAAUGGGCUCCUCCCCUGACCAACUAAAUUGCAGUCUCACUGGAAAAGAUGCUGCCAGCAUCUUUUCAGCGCUGAUAUUCCCAGAGCACUGGGGAGGAGCCAACCACACAGGAGUAGAGCAGCCAGCUCUAUCUGCCCAGUGACAAAGAGCUCCCAGGAGUGCUCCAUUAUUCCACCGCUCCACAUGUCGGAUCAGGUAGAAAGCUGAAGGCACAAGCAUAUGGCUCUGUUCCCUCCUUGUGUAGCCAGGUCUCAGGAAAGGUAAUACAAACCAACAAGAAAAGGAACAUCCUGCUGGAGAAGGGGAAUAAAGCUUAAUUCAGUUAUUUUAGGUCACCCAGUGAAACCAAAGCAUCUACAGAACACUGCUAGGCUCACAUUUACUUCUGAAUUUGUAAGGUUGUAAAUGGAGCUUACAAACUGCACAAUAUGCUUUAGAUCACUCUUAGAGCUUUUUGGCCUGAACUCAGCCCUUUAAAAGAGGGCCAUUUCCUCACCUAACCCACCUGCCCCACGCACCUCUUUGUACCAGAGUAACCAUACAGGAGAUGCUUCUCACCAAAGAAAUUAGAUCCUCUUUUUCUCAAAGGAUGAGGGUCAGGAGGAUGAGGGCACCAUAAUUUCAAUAAAGACAUUUAAAAAGUAAUGAUUAUAACAGAAGCAUCAGCACAAUUUUAAGACAGACAGUAAUAUUUAAGCCUGCUUUCAGCUUGCUUAAAUAUUCGAUCGAAAAAUUCAGCCAGGCAAAGAUAUUAAUCAAAAUAAAUCAAUCCAGGAAAUGACUAUUAAACUAACCCUAAACUCACAUUCUCUUUGGAUGUUUCUUCACUGAAAAAAAGAUGUCUUCACGCUGACGUUAUAAACCUAAUCACAUCUCAAUGGAUGCUCCUUUGUUUGCAGCAGUUGUGGGUGUAAGGAGCACCCAGUGCUAAUUCCAAAUGCAACACCAGGAGCUGUAAAGCUUUUGACAACUUCAUUUGAGCAAAAACACAUCUUCCUUUCCCUGGCAUAGCAAGCCAAGUUAUCCAUAGAUAACCCUUCCCGGUAAUUCAUGGCAUCCUUUGGGACUUAUCAAGACAGCCUUUAAAUUGGCGUCUGGAGGACCAGUGCAGAUGAACAUAAAGCACUGCCUUCCCACUCAUUAUGCCUUUGAAGAAAAGCAAAGGUUCAGCCUUCAAACAUCAACCUACCAUAUGGAUGCUAACUGAGAACAGGGAAGCUUGAAGAAACCAAGAUCCCGGCAUCUGCAGAAAAUGCUAAGGUUUAGGAUUUAUAUUUUAAAAAAUCAAAAUAAAAAUAAAGAAAGAAGAAAGAAAAAGAAAAGAAUAUUAUAAGAGAAAAAGAAAGCAAAGGAUUAUAUUACUUUCCCUUGCUGUAGAGAAAAGUAUGGGCACAUUAAUUUAAAGAGGUGAGGCUCAUAACAGGUUGCAUACAGUAGGCCCUGUUAUUUCUAUGAUGGUGAGCGCUGUUUAUCUGGCUUUCACUGUGAGAUAUAACAAUGAUGCUGUCAAUGUCAGUUAAUGAAGUACAUGGAAAAACAAGGAAACUUGUUUUUUCCAGUAAUGCUAAAGCUACAUAAGCCUGCUAUCCGAGUUGCUACAAAAAAAGUACUAUCGGCACCACCAAGGUCAGUUCUCCUUGGCCAGCAUGACGUUGCUACUGAGAAACCAACAUAGCACUCCAGCAGUAUACUGGAGUACGCUGUAAGACCCCUGUGAUACACAGUUGGACUAACUGAAACUCUUCAACCAGUAAAGCUUACUUCCUUAUUGAUCAGCUACCAUCACAAGUUUACGGAUUAAAGACAGAAAAGCAUUGUCAAGAGGGCUGCUGUAUAGGUACAGCUUCAUCCAGGGCAGCUUGCUUAUGCUAUCAGAUAUACAGUUAAUAUGCAAACGUACAUGGUUAGCUGACAUCUUCAUUCUAAGACUACGCUCCAAAACCUUUCACAUGAAUAAAGUUAUGGUCCUCAUCUCACAGCUGCAGCUGUGAGAAGUAAGUUGGAGAAAUGCUUUAAGAUAUACUGCUGCAUGGCUCUUAAAAAACAAAUAUGAGCUCAGUACAUUCUGGGUGUGCACAGAGGUGGAGCUCAUUGGUUGGCUUCUGGUGAGUAUUUGGAUAGGAAAGCUUGGAAGGAAUCCAGCAGCAUUUGGGAGUAAUAAGUCUUGAACCAUCACAGAUAGACACUGGGGAAAAUGGAACUGGAGAGCUAAGCUAGCCUGUUUAGGUUCCACCGCCAAAGACAAUUGAACUCGAGAAAGCAAAAAGCAAACUGAAUUACUCAAGGUACAUUACAUUUCAGCUUAAGCAAUCUCAGUUCUUUAGAGAGAUCGUAUAAGCAUUCUUGCCACUGUACUAGCUGUAUAUGGGACAUUUAUUUUCAAAUAGUUGUCCUCCCUACAGAGGGAUGCUGCACAGAAACUUGACAAGAAAAACGUUUGCGAAUUUCAGAAGGGUUAGUUAGCAAACAGACUACUAAAAGGCAAUGGCACUCAGUCUCAUCAAGGAGAGCACACCUGGGGGAGGCCAGGAGAGCAAGAUUUGGCCAGAAAAGCUAAAGACAAGAUAAAAACCUAAAAAAAACCAAUACUGAAGACUACUUUGAUUCAUUGAUCCCAGUGAUAAAGAAACUCCUGUUACAACCAGAAGGAAACACAACUCCAUUUAGCCUUGCCUUAGAUUUUCAUUCCUUGAGCUCAGUUAAGUUGCUCUUUCUUUUCCUUUGGUUUCAUCCCUCUAACAUUCAAAUUUACAGUGGAGGCUGGCCAUGUCGUUAAUAACACAAAGGCUGUAGGCACCAGAUUGAUGAGAGUAGUUCUGCUCAGAUACACUGGUAAUGAGAACAAGAGUGCAGGAAGGCAUUUGGAGCAAGGGGGCUCCUUGGGAAAGUACACCACAUGCAGCAUGCCAUUGGAUCCAUCACACCUGCGACUGGGAGCCAAAAAAGCUUGCACCAAGCAUUAAAGAUAUAUGGCUCAACUGUAUAGCCAUGCAAAGAUGUGGCACUGAGGGCCAUGGUCAGUGGGAAUAGUUGUAGUGGUGAUGUGUCGACGGUUGGAAUAGGUGAUCUUAGCGGUCUUUUCCAACCUUAAUGAUUCAAUGACCUCUGGUCAGCAAGGAGAAGGAAGGAUGCUACCACUGCAAUCUAGUGGAAUGCUACCAGUCAAGCUAGUGGGUUUAAAAUUUUAUCUUUAUAAAAUAAGCUGAUUACAACCGCAUUAUCUAAUGGGGUGUCAACCACGACCAACAUUUGGGUCCAUAAGCAGUCCAGCUUACAACACUACCAGGAACCUGAAACCUGAUCCACCAAGAGAAGGCUGAAAAUUGAUAACACUAAACCAUCGUAUGAGUUACGUUAAAAGGAAAGACAGAACAUUUU